rnacentral:rRNA from 1 species
AGUGAACGCUGGCGGUACGCCUAACACAUGCAAGUCGAACGGCAGCACAGUAAUAGCUUGCUCUUACGGGUGGCGAGUGGCGGACGGGUGAGGAAUACAUCGGAAUCUACUUUUUCGUGGGGGAUAACGUAGGGAAACUUACGCUAAUACCGCAUACGACCUACGGGUGAAAGCAGGGGAUCUUCGGACCUUGCGCGAUUGAAUGAGCCGAUGUCGGAUUAGCUAGUUGGCGGGGUAAAGGCCCACCAAGGCGACGAUCCGUAGCUGGUCUGAGAGGAUGAUCAGCCACACUGGAACUGAGACACGGUCCAGACUCCUACGGGAGGCAGCAGUGGGGAAUAUUGGACAAGGGGCGCAAGCCUGAUCCAGCCAUACCGCGUGGGUGAAGAAGGCCUUCGGGUUGUAAAGCCCUUUUGUUGGGAAAGAAAAGAAGCAGGUUAAUACCCCGCUGUUCUGACGGUACCCAAAGAAUAAGCACCGGCUAACUUCGUG